ACACCGGCGGCUCGAAGUGGUAACCGUUAUUAUUGGGUCUAAAGGGUCUGUAGCCGGCCGGAUAAGUCUCUUGAGAAAUCUGGCAGCUUAACUGUCAGGCUUUCAGGAGAUACUGUCUGGCUCGAGGCCGGGAGAGGUGAGAGGUACUUCAGGGGUAGGGGUGAAAUCUUGUAAUCCUUGAAGGACCACCAGUGGCGAAGGCGUCUCACCAGAACGGACCUGACGGCAAGGGACGAAAGCUAGGGGCACGAACCGGAUUAGAUACCCGGGUAGUCCUAGCCGUAAACGAUACUCGCUAGGUGUCGGCCACGGUGCGACCGUUGUCGGUGCCGUAGGGAAGCCGUGAAGCGAG
rnacentral:rRNA from 1 species